rnacentral:rRNA from 1 species
UACAUGGGGUGCAAACGUUGCUCGGAAUCAUUGGGCGUAAAGCGCGCGUAGGCGGGUUGGCAAGUCUGCUGUGAAAGCCCGGAGCUUAACUCCGGAGGGUCGGUGGAUACUGCCAGUCUUGAAGGUGCUAGGGAGAGAUGGAAUUACAGGUGUAGCGGUGAAAUGCGUAGAUAUCUGUAGGAACACCGGUGGCGAAAGCGGCUCACUGGAUCUCUUCUGACGCUGAUGCACGAAAGCCAGGGUAGCGAACGGG